UACGGGGGGGGCAAGCGUUGUUCGGAAUUACUGGGCGUAAAGGGCUCGUAGGCGGCCCACUAAGUCGGAUGUGAAAUCCCCAGGCUUAACCUGGGAACUGCAUCCGAUACUGGAUGGCUUGAAUCCGGGAGAGGGAUGCGGAAUUCCAGGUGUAGCGGUGAAAUGCGUAGAUAUCUGGAGGAACACCGGUGGCGAAGGCAGCAAACUGGUCAUCAACUGACGCUGAGGCGCGAAAGCGUGGGUAGCAAACAGG
rnacentral:rRNA from 1 species